rnacentral:tRNA from 1 species
UGGGCUAUCGCCAAGCGGUAAGGCUCAGCACUUUGACUGCUGAAUUCGUGGGUUCGAAUCCCACUAGCCCAG